rnacentral:rRNA from 1 species
AACGAACGCUGGCGGCAUGCCUAACACAUGCAAGUCGAACGAGACCUUCGGGUCUAGUGGCGCAGGGGUGCGUAACGCGUGGUAACCUGCCCUUAGGUUCGGAAUCACUCCCCGAAAGGGGUGCUAAUACCGGAUAAUGUCUUAGGACAAAAGAUUUAUCGCCUUUGGAUGGGCCCGCGUUGGAUUAGCCAGUUGGUAGGGUAAAAGCCUACCAAGGCGACGAUCCAUAGCUGGUCUGAGAGGAUGAUCAGCCACACUGGGACUGAGACACGGCCCAGACUCCUACGGGAGGCAGCAGUGGGGAAUAUUGGACAAUGGGCGAAAGCCUGAUCCAGCAAUGCCGCGUGAGUGAUGAAGGCCUUAGGGUUGUAAAGCUCUUUUACCCGGGAUGAUAAUGACAGUACCGGGAGAAUAAGCUCCGGCUAACUCCGUG